GACGAACGCUGGCGGCGUGCUUAACACAUGCAAGUCGAACGGAAAGGCCCUGCUUUUGUGGGGUGCUCGAGUGGCGAACGGGUGAGUAACACGUGAGUAACCUGCCCUUGACUUUGGGAUAACUUCAGGAAACUGGGGCUAAUACCGGAUAGGAGCUCCUGCUGCAUGGUGGGGGUUGGAAAGUUUCGGCGGUUGGGGAUGGACUCGCGGCUUAUCAGCUUGUUGGUGGGGUAGUGGCUUACCAAGGCUUUGACGGGUAGCCGGCCUGAGAGGGUGACCGGCCACAUUGGGACUGAGAUACGGCCCAGCCUCCUACGGGAGGCAGCAGUGGGGAAUAUUGCACAAUGGGCGGAAGCCUGAUGCAGCAACGCCGCGUGCGGGAUGACGGCCUUCGGGUUGUAAACCGCUUUCGCCUGUGACGAAGCGUGAGUGACGGUAAUGGGUAAAGAAGCACCGGCUAACUACGUG
rnacentral:rRNA from 1 species